GCGACCAGGAGAGGGGAAGAACCCCCAAACCCUUAUUUCAUCUAAAUUGAUCAAUUGAAGGGUGAGUUGGGCAUAUAAUCACUGCAUGAAUCAAAAAUCUUGAUCACCUACACUUGUCUAACACUAGGCAACAUAAGCGAGGCGUCGGGAAGUCAAGCCGGUGCGGACGCUAGUUUGAAGGGAAAAACUUUGAGGCGAAUGUCGAUAGUCCCAGAUGAAGAUCAAGCAUCGAGCAAGAACCGAACACACGUUAAACGAAGCUUCCGCAAUGUUGUUUCGUCGUUAUUCUAUAACGGCGAAUUAAAAUCACAUUAUGUUGUAUCACUUUAAAUUGUAAAAGUUUUUAGCAAGCCCGUAUUUUCAGUAUAA